CAGCAGCCGCGGGAAUACGAAGGGGGCUAGCGUUGCUCGGAAUGACCGGGCGUAAAGGGCGCGUAGGCGGAAUGCUUUGUCGGGCGUGAAAUUCCAGGGCUUAACCUUGGGGCUGCGUUCGAGACGGGUAUCCUAGAGUGGAGAAGAGGGUCGUGGAAUUCCCAGUGUAGAGGUGAAAUUCGUAGAUAUUGGGGAGAACACCGGUGGCGAAGGCGGCGACCUGGUCUUUUACUGACGCUGAGGCGCGAAAGCGUGGGGAGCAAACAGGAUUAGAUACCCCUGUAGUCCCUGUCUCUUAUAC
rnacentral:rRNA from 1 species